rnacentral:tRNA from 1 species
GCGCCCGUAGCUCAGUUGGAUAGAGCACCGCUUUCCUAAAGCGGGGGUCACAGGUUCGACUCCUGUCGGGCGUACCA